rnacentral:rRNA from 1 species
AUUGAACGCUGGCGGCAGGCCUAACACAUGCAAGUCGAACGAGUGGCGGACGGGUGAGUAAUGCUUGGGAAACUUCCUGAUGGAGGGGGAUAACUACUGGAAACGGUAGCUAAUACCGCAUACCAUCGGAUGUGCCCACAGGGGAUUCGCUAGUGGGUGGGGUAAAGGCUCACCAAGGCGACGAUCUCUAGCUGGUCUGAGAGGAUGACCAGCCACACUGGAACUGAGACACGGCCCAGACUCCUACGGGAGGCAGCAGGGGGGAAUAGUGCGCAAGGGGGGCAACCCUGAUGCAGCCAUGCCGCGUGUAUGAAGAAGGCCUUCGGGUUGUAAAGUACUUUCAGUAGGGAGGCGUUAACUACAGAAGAAGCACCGGCUAACUCCGUGCCAGCAGCCGCGGUAAUAC